GCGGCGUUGAAACCAGCGACGAACACCUUCCACGAGAGUUCCGCUCCCCAUAUAAAUCUCAAACUCUUUUAUUCACAGCCACUCUAUUCCAGCAUUUGCCCACCUCCCGAUUGUCCCUUUUUUUGUGGGUUUCCUAUUUUAGCUGUGGAUUUGCCAUCUCUCACUCUCUCUCUCAAUCUGAUUCUUUGUGUUUGCCCGUCUCUUUCUUCUCACUUUUCUUUGUUAGCAUUAUUUUAC
rnacentral:misc_RNA from 1 species